GACGAACGCUGGCGGCGUGCUUAACACAUGCGAGUCGAACGGAAAGGCCCUGCUUUUGUGGGGUGCUCGAGUGGCGAACGGGUGAGUAACACGUGAGUAACCUGCCCUUGACUUUGGGAUAACUUCAGGAAACUGGGGCUAAUACCGGAUAGGAGCUCCUGCUGCAUGGUGGGGGUUGGAAAGUUUCGGCGGUUGGGGAUGGACUCGCGGCUUAUCAGCUUGUUGGUGGGGUAGUGGCUUACCAAGGCUUUGACGGGUAGCCGGCCUGAGAGGGUGACCGGCCACAUUGGGACUGAGAUACGGCCCAGACUCCUACGGGAGGCAGCAGUGGGGAAUAUUGCACAAUGGGCGGUAGCCUGAUGCAGCAACGCCGCGUGCGGGAUGACGGCCUUCGGGUUGUAAACCGCUUUCGCCUGUGACGAAGCGUGAGUGACGGUAAUGGGUAAAGAAGCACCGGCUAACUACGUG
rnacentral:rRNA from 1 species